rnacentral:rRNA from 1 species
UACGAAGGGGGCUAGCGUUGUUCGGAAUUACUGGGCGUAAAGCGCGCGCAGGCGGUCUUCCAAGUCAGUGGUGAAAGCCCGGAGCUCAACUCCGGAACUGCCAUUGAAACUGUAAGACUUGAGGAUGAGAGAGGUGAGCGGAAUUCCCAGUGUAGAGGUGAAAUUCGUAGAUAUUGGGAAGAACACCGGUGGCGAAGGCGGCCAUCUGGCCUGCAAUUGACGCUGAGGCGCGAAAGCGUGGGGAGCAAACAGG